rnacentral:lncRNA from 1 species
CGAAGCGCUGCUGUCACCCCGGCCGCGCCCCCCAACUUUCUGCACAGUCGCGGAGCUGGAAGUUUCCGGGCUUCGCGGACACGCUGGGCUGGGUUUCAGUCGCGGCUCCGAGGUUGGCAACAAAGAGGGAAAGAAGGAGGAAAAGCAGGCCGGGGAGGGGAGGAAGAGAACCGCGCGGAGGCCGCGGCGCCGAGAGCCCCAGAACUUCCAAUUCUACCCAGAAGCUUUUUUCGUCGUGUUUUUCUCUUAGGUAAACAAGCAAGUUCCACGCCCCAGUCCUGCUGGGGCCUUCGCCAGCCACCGCUCUGGGCUCAUCUCCCGGCGCCUCCUCGGGGCACCUGAGCGUUUUAAGCCCCACUGCCAAGUGUUUUGGACACAGGUUUUUUUGCGGGGUGGUGAGGUUGGGCACAAGAUGCUUCCUAAAAGGUUGUUGGCACGCAGACCAUGGCCCCAGUGACGGAGCGGUAGGCAGGGGCUUGAGGAACACGCUGUCUUUGUCUCGUCCCCAAAGCACCCGGCCGUGGGUCACCCGUGAUCCCUGGAGUGGAGGGACUGUUGUGACCCCUGGUGCUCCAGGAGAAGGGGUUCCAUGCUGGGUCCCGGGCCCAGGCCCACGGUGCCCUCAGCCUGCAGUUCUCCACCUUGCGGAAUGAUUUGCUGGCCCGGCCCAGCUCCCCGGCACCACCAUUUUCUGCCCUCUUUUCCCUGCCUGGCUUCAAACCCUCCCAGGCAAGGGUCCCGAGGAGACACCUGGGCUGGGGGAGGCAACUGAGUGGCCCCAGGCCUGGGAAUCUGCAAAAGUGGCCAAGCCACAUCUCUCGAGACUGCAAGGGCCCUGGAGGCGCUGGGAGGCACAGAUCUGGCUGCCAGCUGGGCCUGAGGCCUCCCUUUGUCCGUCCUUCCUGUUCUUCCUCACCAGACAUGAUCCUCUCUGAGGUUGGUCCUGGGCUUCCAUACGUGAUUCAUGGAAGAGGUCUCAGCCCCAAGAGCCCCUGAGGGUACUGUCCACUCCCCCUGGAAACUUCCAGAACCUGACGUGGGGCUGAAGACAUAGAGGUAAUGGGGAUGGGCUGGUGGGGCGCUGGCUGGGACAAUGUGUGGAGCCCUUGUUUUCAGAGCUACAGAUGCUUGUCAGCUGACAGUUCGUUUCCAGCAUCCACAGUGGACCUCCUUUGGGGGAGCAUUUACCUGCCAAUGAACCCCAAGAUCCUUUCUCAGAGGCGGCGGGAUGAAGUUUUCCUUUUUUUUUUUUUUAGUUAAUAUAUUUUAUUUAAACCAAUAUAUCCAAAAUAUUAUCAGUUCAACAUACGAUCAAGAUAAAGAUUAAUGAGAUACUUUACAUUUUCAUACUAAAUCUUUUUUUAAAUUUUUGUGAGUACAUAGUAGGUAUAAACAUUUAGGGAUGAAGUUUCUUACUGUGUUUUCCCAGUAACAAGCACUGGCAUCAGCUGUCAUGAUUUCUCCCCAAGGCCUAGGAUGGUCAGCCUCGCACGCUCCACAGCAGAGUGACUGAAGCUCUAUCGAGGUGUGGCACGAGCGUGUUGUCAUUUCAAGAGAAUCUGCAGCCUCCCUGGUUUUUAAUGAAAGCUCCUAUGCAGGGCCUGGCCCUUUCCUGGGGAGGGAAGGCUGGCUGUGUCUCCCGCUGCAUCCUCACUGGGAACUUCAUUCCUGAGCUGCGACCGCUAUUUUUUGGAUUGGAAAAUGCCUUGGGAACGGCUCAUCUUCCUGCGGCUUGAGCCCAUUUGUUUUCUGACUGGUGGUCACUGGUGAUUAGAGUGUGUCCCAAAGGGAACCGUCACCUUAGUUCUAUCAUACACUAUCAAUAACUUGUCCAGGGCUGACUUUGUGGCUGUGUGGCUUGCCCAGUGGUAGAGGGCCGGUGUGCAGAAGGGCCCCACACUCAAUGUUUGGCUGUCCCCGGUCUUAAAAUUCUUAGUCAUUCUUGAACAAGGGAACCCAUAUUUUCAUUUUGUUCUAGGCUCUGAGAGUUACAUAAUUGAUUCUGACUUUGGCUGUUGGUCAACAGUGUCAUAAGGUAAAAUAAGGGACCGUGGACUGUGAUGUUUACAGUACGAAAGCACUGGGAGAGAACGCUACAUCACAAAGUGUCCUUAACCUGCUGCCGCCUCAGCUUUCCCAUUUGUGACUUGGUUAAAAAAAAUUUUUUUGACAGUUUUAAGCUCUUAUUUUAAUUUCCACAGGCUGUUGUAGAAUCUGCUCAGCCAGGGAGGGGAAAGGAGUCGGCAAUCAGGUCUCCUCCUGGGCACCUUUGUGAGGCCAGCUGGCGAGAGUGGGGGGUGACACUGAGGUCCCAGCAGCUCCAAAUGCAGGCAGAGCCCUGUCCUCAGAGAAGGUCACAGCCUAGCCAAGCCCAGCCAGGUGGAUGGGCCCACGGAACGCACAGGAACCUGGAACGGAGGUUGAAAGCAGGAAGCACAGUCUGUGACUCCCCAGCCCACUCUGCAUUCGACCACUUGGGGCCCAGAAGCUUCAGGAAAGGUGCACAAGGUCACUGGGUCCCAGUACUCCCAACAGGAAGGUCUGGUCCAGGGACAGGGCUCUUCCCGACUCCCCUUAGCCACACGCACCAGAAGUUCUGCAGUGCCCAGUGGGCAUAGCAGUCCCCAAGAAUGACCCAGCACUGAAGCUGAGCCAAAGAACUUGGGGAGCGAGCCACACCCCCUCACUCCCUCUUCGCCUGCUCCAGACUUGCCAGGCGGUUGCUUUUCGUGGGAACCGGGAUGUCCUCACCACCCUGUCCAGGGCCCAGCCCCAUGUCCCUGGCCUGCUACAGCUGGAAAAAAAAAAGAGAGAUGUUUGUUUUUAUUUGUUUAUAAAAAGAAAAGUGUUAUAUAUAUAACAUAUUAUACCUCAUGAAUACAUACAAUUAUUUGUCAAUUAACAAUAAAGAAAAAUACAGCAAGCAAAAAAGA